UUUCAGUCACGUUCGGAUAUUGGGCGUAAGAGCUCGUAGGCGGUUUGUCGCGUCUGCUGUGAAAGACCGGGGCUCAACUCCGGUUCUGCAGUGGGUACGGGCAGACUAGAGUGCAGUAGGGGAGACUGGAAUUCCUGGUGUAGCGGUGAAAUGCGCAGAUAUCAGGAGGAACACCGAUGGCGAAGGCAGGUCUCUGGGCUGUAACUGACGCUGAGGAGCGAAAGCAUGGGGAGCGAACAGGAUUAGAUACCCUGGUAGUCCAUGCCGUAAACGUUGGGCACUAGGUGUGGGGGACAUUCCACGUUUUCCGCGCCGUAGCUAACGCAUUAAGUGCCCCGCCUGGGGAGUACGGCCGCAAGGCUAAAACUCAAAGGAAUUGACGGGGGCCCGCACAAGCGGCGGAGCAUGCGGAUUAAUUCGAUGCAACGCGAAGAACCUUACCAAGGCUUGACAUGAACCGGUAAUACCUGGAAACAGGUGCCCCGCUUGCGGUCGGUUUACAGGUGGUGCAUGGUUGUCGUCAGCUCGUGUCGUGAGAUGUUGGGUUAAGUCCCGCAACGAGCGCAACCCUCGUUCUAUGUUGCCAGCGGUUCGGCCGGGGACUCAUAGGAGACUGCCGGGGUCAACUCGGAGGAAGGUGGGGACGACGUCAAAUCAUCAUGCCCCUUAUGUCUUGGGCUUCACGCAUGCUACAAUGGCCGGUACAAAGGGUUGCGAUACUGUGAGGUGGAGCUAAUCCCAAAAAGCCGGUCUCAGUUCGGAUUGGGGUCUGCAACUCGACCCCAUGAAGUCGGAGUCGCUAGUAAUCGCAGAUCAGCAACGCUGCGGUGAAUACGUUCCCGGGCCUUGUACACACCGCCCGUCAAGUCACGAAAGUUGGUAACACCCGAAGCCGGUGGCCUAACCCUUGUGGGGGGAGCCGUCGAAGGUGGGACCGGCGAUUGGGACUAAGUCGUAC
rnacentral:rRNA from 1 species